UAUUGAAAGAGAAUGAUAAUAGAGAAGAGAAAUUGAAGAAAAGGAAAAUGGCUCUUUGGUGGGCACGAAAACAAAAUGCUUCUUUCUCUCUCCUUCUUCCCCUUUCUUUCUUUCUCUUUCUCUUUCUCUUUCUCUUUCUCU
rnacentral:RNase_P_RNA from 13 species